UACGUAGGGUGCAAGCGUUAUUCGGAAUUAUUGGGCGUAAAGCGCGUGUAGGCGGUCUAGUUAGUCUAAUGUGAAAUCCCUCGACUCAAUCGAGGAACUGCAUCGGAUACUGCUAGACUAGAGUACAGGAGGGGUGAGCGGAAUUCCUGGUGUAGAGGUGAAAUUCGUAGAUAUCAGGAGGAACAACAGCGGCGAAGGCGGCUCACUGGACUGUAACUGACGCUCAGACGCGAAAGCGUGGGGAGCAAACAGG
rnacentral:rRNA from 1 species